rnacentral:sRNA from 1 species
AAAAUGAAAUCCUCGGAAUA